GUGCUUGCUUCAGCAGCACACAUAAAAAAAUUGGGAUGAUACAGAGAUUAGCAUGGCCCUGAACAAUGAUAGCAUGCAAAUUUGUGAAGCAUUCUAUAAUCUU
rnacentral:snRNA from 1 species